rnacentral:rRNA from 1 species
UACGUAGGGGGCAAGCGUUAUCCGGAAUUACUGGGUGUAAAGGGAGCGUAGACGGUAAUGUAAGUCUGGAGUGAAAGGCGGGGGCCCAACCCCCGGACUGCUCUGGAAACUAUGUUACUAGAGUGCAGGAGAGGUAAGCGGAAUUCCUAGUGUAGCGGUGAAAUGCGUAGAUAUUAGGAGGAACACCAGUGGCGAAGGCGGCUUACUGGACUGUAACUGACACUGAGGCUCGAAAGCGUGGGGAGCAAGCAGG